rnacentral:rRNA from 1 species
UAAGCCCUGCUCCAGCCAUGCCGCCGUGUGUGAGAAGGCUUAUGGUUGUAAAGCACUUUAAGCGAGGAGGAGGCUACUGAAGUUAAUACCUUCAGAUAGUGGACGUUACUCGCAGAAUAAGCACCGGCUAACUCUGUGCCAGCGGCCGCGGUCUGG